UCAACUCCUGCUUCCCGAAGCAGUGACAUCAGGAGAGCUAAGGAUGCUGCCAACUAAAAAAAAAAUCUAAGCUUAUGAGCUGAGGCCGGUGCCUCGGUAUACAGCGUCUUUUAUUAGUUUUUACAUGUGUAUGGUUGUGAUGGUUGAAAAGCAGCAGCGGCAGCAAGUCUAUUAAAUGCCGACGCUGGUCGCUUGCAUAUCAGAAGCACUAGUCCAAGAUCGUGAGCAGCUCGAGCACUAAGCGGAGCUGCCCAAACUGCCCGUUGAAGGCACGUUAAUGCCUGGAAUUAGUAUAUUAGGUACAAUUAUCAAUUAAAUAAAGUUAUUAUAUGGGAAGUAAAACAUGAGAGGAAUUAAAGACGCGCUGCGCUGACUAUCCGUUUGACUAAUCACAAUCAGACAAAACGCGCCAACCGUACGGUUUGAAUACCAUUCUUCCCUGACAGCACAGAAACGUCUUUAUUUAAUUCAAACAUAUACACAAA